rnacentral:tRNA from 1 species
ACCUGGGUGGCUUAGUUGGUUAAGUGUCUGACUUCGACUCAGGUCAUGAUCUCUCAGAUUGUGAGUUCAAGCCCCACGUCAGGCU